rnacentral:tRNA from 1 species
GCGGGGGUGUCGGAGUGGUCAAACGAGCAGGACUUAAGAUCCUGUGCCUUAGUGGCUGCGGGGGUCCGAAUCCUCCCUCCCGCA